UAGGUGACUCUGGGUUAAACAUAUGACUUGAUUUCAUUUACAGUUUUGGGAUAACUACUUCUGCCUCAGCCCCUUUUGGCUAUCAGUAAGUUCCCUACUGUUCCUCUGGAAUCAACCUUGAGGCAGCUGGUCAGCAUAUCAAGAUCUGUCGCUCCACAGCCCAGCGGGAUGGAAAAUGGUUAGGUCUGUUCUCUGUCUAAAAGUGGAGAUGCCAAGCAUUAUGUAACCCUAUCAAGAGGGGAGGCCUAAGUGGAGUAGACAAAUCUCCUGUCAGCUCAGUGGCCUUCUGUAUGAGGUCUCCUUAACUCCAAGGACUUCUCUUUCCCAACCCUGCCUGUGGCCCCUUCUCUGAGCACCUGUGCCCCAGUUUCCAGUGUCUGAUCUCACCACCUACUUCAUCAAGAAAACAGAAGCCAACAGACAGAAAUUGCCCCAACUUUCCAAAAACACAUUCAUUCAAUAAAUAUUUAUUAAACACCACUGGAUGGCUGGGCUCUGGCACCAGAUCACCUAUGUCCUUAUUCUCACCUUUCCCUUUGGGUCAUUGAUGGCCAGAUGGAAAAUAUUAAGGAAAAGAUAUUGCCACGAAACCAGCAGGCUGUGGUCCAGAGUUGCAAGGCCCCAGUGAAGCAAGCAGACCUGCAGGAGGGCUCUGCUCAGCCACAAGCAGAGCUCUGGCGCAUCCUCUCUCUGCCCAGCAGCAGGAGGCCCCGGGCCAGCUGAGAGCGGCCACUGUGCCAAACAGACUGUGCGAGUCUAACUGCUCGGAUGCUUCUAGAGAAAGAGGGAGAAUCGAUGGGCUCCUUUGUAAACAACUUCUUGUGCUCUCAGGCUGUGACUGACUUCAAAGGUGGCAUAACUUAAUCCUGUCACAAAUUAUGCCAUGGAAAUCUUGAGAUGGUUUUCUUUGUAAGGAAAUACCUAGGGGGCUACUUAAAAACUGGAUGCCUACAGGUAAACAGCAAAUGACAAAAGUAAACCAAGUGCAGCUUUGAGCAAGUAAGAAAAACUACACAGCCAAAUAUAACUUCUACUCACUAUUUAAACCCAUUUGUGGUAAAAUCUUGCUGGAUAUUAGCAAAAGCAGAUCUUAAAUAUUAAGGUUUGUGUUGCGCUAGGACAUUUCUUCAUUUGCUCAUCUCCAUUAACAGGUCCUGAUUGACAGUACUGAGACUCACCCUCAAAUAUUUUUUGAAUAAAAAGUUUUAAUUGCGGGACACCUGAGUGGCUCAGCGAUUAAG